CUGCAUUAUUUUAAACAUAGGGUACCACAUACCCUGGCUGCAUUAUUUUUUGCCGACAUAGGGUACGACAUCCCCUAGUUCUAUUUCAGAGUGCCACGAGCCUAGUUUUAUUGCACACACAGGGUACUAUAUCCCCUGGCUGCAUUAUUUUCAACAUAUGGUACGACAUCCCCUAGUUCUAUUUCAGAGUUCCACGAGCCACAUAUUAUUGCAA
rnacentral:lncRNA from 1 species